rnacentral:rRNA from 1 species
GAUGAACGCUGGCGGCGUGCCUAAUACAUGCAAGUCGAGCGAACGGACGAGAAGCUUGCUUCUCUGAUGUUAGCGGCGGACGGGUGAGUAACACGUGGAUAACCUACCUAUAAGACUGGGAUAACUUCGGGAAACCGGAGCUAAUACCGGAUGAUAUUUUGAACCGCAUGGUUCAAAAGUGAAAGACGGUCUUGCUGUCACUUAUAGAUGGAUCCGCGCUGCAUUAGCUAGUUGGUAAGGUAACGGCUUACCAAGGCAACGAUGCAUAGCCGACCUGAUAGGGUGAUCGGCCACACUGGAACUGAGACACGGUCCAGACUCCUACGGGAGGCAGCAGUAGGGAAUCUUCCGCAAUGGGCGAAAGCCUGACGGAGCAACGCCGCGUGAGUGAUGAAGGUCUUCGGAUCGUAAAACUCUGUUAUUAGGGAAGAACAUAUGUGUAAGUAACUGUGCACAUCUUGACGGUACCUAAUCAGAAAGCCACGGCUAACUACGUG